rnacentral:lncRNA from 1 species
GAUACUCUUUUAUACCACAUUAAUACACUUUUAUACUAUAUUGAUACACUUACAGUGUCCAUAUAUUCAAUUGAUACUCUCUUAUACUAGAUUGAUACAUUUUUAAAAUGCAUGUAAAAAUUAUAUUUUUGUUUCUGCCAUAAGAUGAGGCAGAAUUUUCGGAAGAUGUUGUUGGAGGAUUUUCCCAAUCCCAAUCGUCAAGUAACUGAAGCUUAAUUGGUUGAAGUAAAGUAUAAUCAUAUUCAAAGUCUAUAUUUCCAAAUAUCUUUUGUUGUUUUUUCACUUUGGAAAACAAUGAAAAUGAACAAAAAGUUUCGAGAAAAAUAGUGUUUUCUGAGUGUCAAUUAGAAGUUUUUUUUAUUGUUGAAAAGAAAGAGAUA